rnacentral:rRNA from 1 species
GUCUAUGGCCACGCUACCCUGAACAAGCCCGAUCCAGUCUGAUCUCAGAAGCUAAGCAGGGUCAGGCCUGGUUAAUACUUGGAUGGGAGACCACCUAGGAAGACCAGGUGCUGUAGGUG